GUUGAACGCUGGCGGCAGGCCUAACACAUGCAAGUCGAGCGGAUGAAGGGAGCUUGCUCCUGGAUUCAGUGGCGGACGGGUGAGUAAUGCAUAGGAAUCUGCCUGGUCGUGGGGGAUAACGUCCGGAAACGGGCGCUAAUACCGCAUACGUCCUGAGGGAGAAAGUGGGGGAUCUUAGGACAUCACGCUAUCAGAUGAGCCUAGGUCGGAUUAGCUAGUUGGUAGGGUAAAGGCCUACCAAGGCGACGAUCCGUAACUGGUCUGAGAGGAUGAUCAGUCACACUGGAACUGAGACACGGUCCAGACUCCUACGGGAGGCAGCAGUGGGGAAUAUUGCACAAUGGGCGAAAGCCUGAUCCAGCCAUGCCGCGUGUGUGAAGAAGGUCUUCGGAUUGUAAAGCACUUUAAGUUGGGGGGAAGGGCAGUAAGUUAAUACCUUGAUGUUUUGACGUUACCAACAGAAUAAGCACCGGCUAACUUCGUG
rnacentral:rRNA from 1 species